rnacentral:rRNA from 1 species
UACGGAGGGUGCGAGCGUUGUCCGGAAUCACUGGGCGUAAAGGGCGCGUAGGCGGCCCGUCAAGCGUGUGGUGAGAGCCCGGGGCUCAACCCCGGGUCGGCCGUGCGGACUGGCGGGCUCGAGCACUGUAGGGGCGGGUGGAAUUCCGGGUGUAGCGGUGGAAUGCGUAGAGAUCCGGAAGAACACCGGUGGCGAAGGCGGCCUGCUGGGCAGUAGCUGACACUGAGGCGCGACAGCGUGGGGGAGCAAACAGG